rnacentral:rRNA from 1 species
GACGAACGCUGGCGGCGUGCUUAACACAUGCCAGUCGAACGGAAAGGCCCUGCUUUUGUGGGGUGCUCGAGUGGCGAACGGGUGAGUAACACGUGAGUAACCUGCCCUUGACUUUGGGAUAACUUCAGGAAACUGGGGCUAAUACCGGAUAGGAGCUCCUGCUGCAUGGUGGGGGUUGGAAAGUUUCGGCGGUUGGGGAUGGACUCGCGGCUUAUCAGCUUGUUGGUGGGGUAGUGGCUUACCAAGGCUUUGACGGGUAGCCGGCCUGAGAGGGUGACCGGCCACAUUGGGACUGAGAUACGGCCCAGACUCCUACGGGAGGCAGCAGUGGGGAAUAUUGCACAAGGGGCGGAAGCCUGAUGCAGCAACGCCGCGUGCGGGAUGACGGCCUUCGGGUUGUAAACCGCUUUCGCCUGUGACGAAGCGUGAGUGACGGUAAUGGGUAAAGAAGCACCGGCUAACUACGUG